UACAGAGGUGGCAAGCGUUGUUCGGAAUUACUGGGCGUAAAGGGCGCGUAGGCGGCCUUCUAAGUCAGACGUGAAAUCCCCCGGCUUAACCUGGGAACUGCGUCUGAUACUGGGAGGCUAGAGUGCGGGAGAGGGAUGCGGAAUUCCAGGUGUAGCGGUGAAAUGCGUAGAUAUCUGGAGGAACACCGGUGGCGAAGGCGGCAUCCUGGACCGACACUGACGCUGAGGCGCGAAAGCUAGGGGAGCAAACAGG
rnacentral:rRNA from 1 species